rnacentral:rRNA from 1 species
UACAGAGACUGCAAGCGUUAUUCGGAUUCACUGGGCGUAAAGGGUGCGCAGGCGGCCAAGUGUGUUAGGCGUGAAAGCCCGGGGCUUAACCCCGGAAUUGCACCUAAAACUACAUAGCUAGAGCAUUGGAGAGGGUAGCGGAAUUCACGGUGUAGCAGUGAAAUGCGUAGAUAUCGUGAGGAACACCAGAGGCGAAGGCGGCUACCUGGACAAUUGCUGACGCUCAGGCACGAAAGCGUGGGGAGCAAAAGGG